rnacentral:rRNA from 1 species
AUUGAACGCUGGCGGCAUGCUUUACACAUGCAAGUCGAACGGUAACAGGCCUUCGGUUGCUGACGAGCGGCGACCGGGUGCGUAAUGCAAAGGCACGUAUCCAGAGGCGGGGGAUAACGGAGCGCAAGCUGUGAUAAUACCGAAUGUGAUCUGAGGAUGUAAGCGGGGGGCCGAGAAGCUAAAUUUCGCCUUUGGCGUUUGGUGUGGACGAUGUCGGAUUAGCUAGUUGGUAGGGUAAAGGCCUACCAAGGCGACGAUCCGUAGCUGGUCUGAGAGGACGACCAGCCACACUGGGACUGAGACACGGCCCAGACUCCUACGGGAGGCAGCAGUGGGGAAUUUUGGACAAUGGGCGCAAGCCUGAUGCAGCAAUGCCGCGUGCGGGAAGAAGGCCUUCGGGUUGUAAACCGCUUUUAGCAGGAACGAAACAGUGUCCGAUAAUACCGGGCGGUAAUGACGGUACCUGCAGAAUAAGCACCGGCUAACUACGUG